AGGGGCUGCGGGCACCAUGGCCUGGACUCCUCUCCUCCUCGUGCUCCUCUCUCACUGCACAGGUUCCCUCUCUCAGACUGCGGUGACCCAGCAGCCCUCCCUCUCUGCAUCUCUGGGAGGCAAAGCCAGACUCACCUGCACCCUGAGGAGUGGCUUCACUGUUGGCGUUUAUGACAUACACUGGUACCAGCAGAAGCCUGGGGCCUCUCCCCGGUUUCUCUUAUACUACCGCUCAGACUCAGACAAGGGCCAGGGCUCCGGGGUCCCCAGCCGCUUCUCCGGAUCCAAAGACGCCUCGGCCAAUGCAGGGCUCCUGACCAUCUCUGGGCUGCAGCCUGAGGACGAGGCCGACUAUUACUGUACCAUCUGGCACAAUAAUGCUUCUCACAGUGACACACAAGAAGGGGAAGUGGGACAAAAUCCUCAGCCUACAGAGUUUGGUUCAUGA